rnacentral:rRNA from 1 species
GAUGAACGCUGGCGGCGUGCCUAAUACAUGCCAGUCGAGCGAACGGACGAGAAUCUUGCUUCUCUGAUGUUAGCGGCGGACGGGUGAGUAACACGUGUAUAACCUACCUAUAAGACUGGGAUAACUUCGGGAAACCGGAGCUAAUACCGUAUGAUAUUUUGAACCGCAUGGUUCAAAAGUGAAAGACGGUCUUGCUGUCACGUAUAGAUGGAUCCGCGCUGCAUUAGCUGGUUGGUAAGUUAACGGCUUAUCAAGGCAACGAGGCAUAGCCGAACUGAUAGGGUGAUGGGCGACACGAGAAGUGAACCAGGCUCCAGGCUCCUGAGAGAGGCAGCAGACGGGAAUCUGACGCAACGGGCGAAAGCAUGACGGAGCAGCCCGGCGUGAGUGAUGAAAGCCUUCGGAUCGUAAAAAUCUGUUAUUAGGGAAGAACAUAUGUGUCAGUAACUGUGCAGAUAGUGACGGUACCUAAUCAGAAAGCAACGGCUAACUACGUG